AUUGAACGCUGCGGCAGGCUUAACACAUGCAAGUCGAGCGAGCGGCGGACGGGUGAGUCAUGCUUAGGCAUCUGCCUAUUAGUGGGGGACAACAUCUCGAAAGGGAUGCUAAUACCGCAUACUAAUAGAUGAGCCUAAGUCGGAUUAGCUAGUUGGUGGGGUAAAGGCCUAUCUAGGCCACGAUCGGUAGCGGGUCUGAGAGGGUGAUCCGCCAGACUGGGAGUGAGCAAUGGCUCAGACGGCCUCGUGAGGCAGCAGUGGGGAAUAUUGGAGAAUGGGGGGAAGCCUGAUACAGCCAUGCCACGUGUGUGAAGAGGGGGUGAUGGUUGUAAAGCACGUUAAGGGAUGAGGCGUUACUGGCAGAAUAUGCACCGGCUAACUCUGUGCCAGCCGCCGCGGUAAUUC
rnacentral:rRNA from 1 species